ACUGUCUAUAUUAACCACAGCACUGUAUUCAACACUGUCUAUAUUCACCACAACACUGUAUUCAACACUGUCUAUAUUAACCACAGCACUGUCUAUAUUAACCACAGCACUGUAUUCAACACUGUCUAUAUUAACCACAACACUGUCUAUAUUAACCACAACACGGUCUAUAUUAACCACAACACUGUCUAUAUUAACCACAACACUGUCUAUAUUAACCACAACACUGUAUUCAACACGGCUUAUAUUAACCACAACACUGUCUAUAUUAACCAAGCACUGUAUCAACACGUCUAUAUUAACCACAACACUGUAUUCAACACUGUCUAUAUUAACCACAACACU
rnacentral:lncRNA from 1 species